AGUAAUACAUCGGAACGUGUCUUCUAGUGGGGGAUAACUGCCCGAAAGGGCAGCUAAUACCGCAUGAGACCUGAGGGUGAAAGCGGGGGAUCGCAAGACCUCGCGCUGGAAGAGCGGCCGAUGUCCGAUUAGCUAGUUGGUGAGGUAAAGGCUCACCAAGGCGACGAUCGGUAGCUGGUCUGAGAGGACGACCAGCCACACUGGGACUGAGACACGACCCAG
rnacentral:rRNA from 1 species